AGCCUUCUGUAUGCGUGCUGAGAUUUCAUCACACACCAGACCACAAGGGCUGAUGAGACUUCCAAGAUAAGUGAAGCG
rnacentral:pre_miRNA from 1 species